rnacentral:misc_RNA from 1 species
AAGUCGUAACAAGGUCUCCGUUGGUGAACCAGCGGAGGGAUCAUUACUAAGCAAGUUGAAAAACUGCUAAACCCUUGUGAAUAUACCUGUUAGUUGCUUCGGCGAGCAGCCCCAGGGCGGGGCCGCAGCCUUUUAUAGGUGCUCGCCGACAGCAGUAAAACUCUUAUUUUUACAGUUAUUCUGAGUUAUAAAACAAAUAAGUCAAAACUUUCAACAACGGAUCUCUUGGCUUUG